AUUGAACGCUGGCGGCAUGCCUUACACAUGCAAGUCGAACGGUAACAGGUUAAGCUGACGAGUGGCGAACGGGUGAGUAAUGUAUCGGAACGUGCCCAGUCGUGGGGGAUAACUGCUCAAAAGAGCAGCUAAUACCGCAUACGACCUGAGGGUGAAAGCGGGGGAUCGCAAGACCUCGCGCGAUUGGAGCGGCCGAUAUCAGAUUAGGUAGUUGGUGAGGUAAAGGCUCACCAAGCCGACGAUCUGUAGCUGGUCUGAGAGGACGACCAGCCACACUGGGACUGAGACACGGCCCAGACUCCUACGGGAGGCAGCAGUGGGGAAUUUUGGACAAUGGGCGCAAGCCUGAUCCAGCCAUGCCGCGUGCGGGAAGAAGGCCUUCGGGUUGUAAACCGCUUUUGUCAGGGAAGAAAAGGUUCUGGCUAAUACCUGGGACUCAUGACGGUACCUGAAGAAUAAGCACCGGCUAACUACGUG
rnacentral:rRNA from 1 species